rnacentral:misc_RNA from 1 species
AUUCUCAACUGUUCUUCAAUUCUUCAUUGCUCAUUAGCAGUCCCAAGCUUCGCAGCGUAUUCUCUUUGGAGAAGCGACAAACCAUUGCCUAAUAAUCAAUCAAUCAAUCAAUCAAAUUCAAUUAUGAAUGACUACGAAGGUGGAAGGUACGAUGGCAAUGGUGCUGACUUCGAUAACGAUAACUACGGUUCCGCCGACGGUGGCGGUUUCUCCCCUCAGCCUCGCACUAACAGCCACAGCCAUGGCGGUGCCGACGAUCACAUAAAUUCCAGAUCUCGGCAUGGCUCACGAGACAACAACGAAAGAGAUUAUUCAAAAAGUAGGGAAAAGGAUAGAGAGAAAGGGCGUGAUAAGGAUAGGGAUAGAGAUAGGGACAGGGAUAGGGAUCGUGAGAGGGACAAAGAAAGGAGGAGAAGCAAGGACAGGGACAGGGUUAGCGAAAGGGACCGAGACAAGGAUCAUGACCGUUACCAUAGAGAUCGUGAUCGCCACAGAGAUCGUAGUGAGAGGAGGGAACGGGGUAGAGAUAGAGAUGAUGAUGAUUAUCACCGAAGCCGAGACUAUGAACGGGACAGGCAGAGAGAUUAUGAUAGGGACAGGGAAGACAGGCACCGGCAUCGGUCACGAUCUCCUUCAAAGGGUAGAUCUGAACGCAGAUCCAAAUCACGUUCACGCUCCCGUUCCCGUUCUAAGAGCAAAAGGAUCAGUGGUUUUGAUAUGGCUCCUCCACCAUCUGCAAUGUUGGCUGGUGCAGCUGCAGCUGCUGCUGCUGCAGGUCAGAUGCCUGGCACAAAUCCUGCCAUUUCUGGAAUAUUCCCUAACAUGUUUCCUUUAGGGGCUGGUCAGCAGUUUGGUGCUCUUCCAGUUAUGCCAGUUCAGGCAAUGACUCAGCAGGCCACUAGGCAUGCUCGGCGGGUAUAUGUUGGAGGACUUUCCCCUACAGCUAAUGAACAAUCCGUAGCAACUUUUUUCAGCCAUGUUAUGGCUGCAAUUGGAGGAAACACUGCUGGCCCAGGGGAUGCUGUUGUGAAUGUCUAUAUAAACCAUGAAAAGAAAUUUGCGUUUGUGGAGAUGAGGUCUGUUGAGGAGGCUAGUAAUGCAAUGGCUUUAGAUGGGAUCAUUUUUGAGGGAGCUCCUGUCAAGGUGAGAAGACCUAGUGAUUAUAACCCAUCCCUUGCUGCAACACUUGGUCCAAGCCAGCCCAAUCCCAAUCUUAACCUGGCUGCAGUUGGCUUAAGUCCAAACUCUGCUGGUGGGCUUGAGGGUCCAGACCGCAUCUUUGUGGGUGGACUUCCCUAUUAUUUUACUGAAGCUCAAGUCAGAGAGUUGUUGGAGUCCUUUGGUCCCCUUCAAGGUUUUGAUCUAGUAAAAGAUAGAGAAACUGGGAAUUCGAAGGGCUAUGCAUUCUGUGUGUACCAAGACAUUGCAGUUACAGACAUAGCUUGUGCUGCUCUG